rnacentral:rRNA from 1 species
AGUCGAGCGAACGGACGAGAAGCUUGCUUCUCUGAUGUUAGCGGCGGACGGGUGAGUAACACGUGGAUAACCUACCUAUAAGACUGGGAUAACUUCGGGAAACCGGAGCUAAUACCGGAUAAUAUUUUGAACCGCAUGGUUCAAAAGUGAAAGACGGUCUUGCUGUCACUUAUAGAUGGAUCCGCGCUGCAUUAGCUAGUUGGUAAGGUAACGGCUUACCAAGGCAACGAUGCAUAGCCGACCUGAGAGGGUGAUCGGCCACACUGGAACUGAGACACGGUCCAGACUCCUACGGGAGGCAGCAGUAGGGAAUCUUCCGCAAUGGGCGAAAGCCUGACGGAGCAACGCCGCGUGAGUGAUGAAGGUCUUCGGAUCGUAAAACUCUGUUAUUAGGGAAGAACAUAUGUGUAAGUAACUGUGCACAUCUUGACGGUACCUAAUCAGAAAGCCACGGCUAACUACGUGCCAGCAGCCGCGGUAAUACGUAGGUGGCAAGCGUUAUCCGGAAUUAUUGGGCGUAAAGCGCGCGUAGGCGGUUUUUUAAGUCUGAUGUGAAAGCCCACGGCUCAACCGUGGAGGGUCAUUGGAAACUGGAAAACUUGAGUGCAGAAGAGGAAAGUGGAACUCCAUGUGUAGCGGUGAAAUGCGCAGAGAUAUGGAGGAACACCAGUGGCGAAGGCGACUUUCUGGUCUG